CAAAUCCAUUGCCAUAGCUGGAAAGAGCAUCUUAAAAUGAGUAAAAUUGCAAAGUUUGUUUGAGAAUUGUUGUAAAAUGAGGAAAAUAUAGCCCUGUAAAGUUCGCAAAUUUUGAGCCGAAAGUUUUAUCGCGCGUAAUACAAAUAUAUACAAAAUUUGCGAACUUCACAGGGCUAUAUUUUCUUCAUUUUACAACAUUUAGCAACCAAACUUUGCAGUUUUACUCAUUCUAAGACGCUCUUUCUAGCUGUGGCGUUGGAUUUC